AUUGAACGCUGGCGGCAUGCUUUACACAUGCAAGUCGAACGGUAACAGGGUGCUUGCACCGCUGACGAGUGGCGAACGGGUGAGUAAUGCGUCGGAACGUGCCGAGUAGUGGGGGAUAACGCAGCGAAAGUUGUGCUAAUACCGCAUACGUACUGAGGUAGAAAGUGGGGGACCUUCGGGCCUCACGCUAUUCGAGCGGCCGACGUCUGAUUAGCUAGUAGGUGAGGUAAAGGCUCACCUAGGCGACGAUCAGUAGCGGGUCUGAGAGGAUGAUCCGCCACACUGGGACUGAGACACGGCCCAGACUCCUACGGGAGGCAGCAGUGGGGAAUUUUGGACAAUGGGCGAAAGCCUGAUCCAGCCAUGCCGCGUGUCUGAAGAAGGCCUUCGGGGUGUAAAGGACUUUUGUCAGGGAGGAAAUCCCUAGAGCUAAUAACACUGGGGGAUGACAGUACCUGAUGAAUAAGCACCGGCUAACUACGUGCCAGCCGCCGCCGUAACAC
rnacentral:rRNA from 1 species